ACUGAAACAUCAUGGAGAUACUGACAAAGGCCAGGAAACAUUCAUCUCUCAAGAUCAUAUCUUACAUCAGAGAACCACCAAAAAAAUCUUAUCAGAACCUAGAACUGUUUCCUGACUCCGUUUUGGAUUCCCCCUCAACACCUCUUCAGACGUCUGAUCUCCUGGCUCUGACUCCCAAGAAUGUCUAAGACAUUCUUGGGAGUCCUGUCUGUCCUCUGACCUGUCUGUCCUCUGACCACAAAACAUCAGCAUCUGGGACUCUCUGGGCGGCCCCCGCUGUGUUGUGUUGGCCCCCAACCGGCUGGAACCAACCUCACCUUCUGGGCUCGGACUGAACUAUAAGACCAGAAGUUCCUGCCUUAGACGUCAACGCUGCUCACUGCAGUUCUGUUUCUAAUAAACGUUUUGAGAAAUCUAUCU